UGUUUCGAGGAGCGUUGCAAGGCCACCCCCCGGCCCCAGGCUCGAAACCACUUCCCAGUGCAACGUCGCUCACCCCCA
rnacentral:ncRNA from 2 species